UGUUGGCAUCAGCAGUCGAGCAGCUUUAUCUCUCUAUCGUUAGUAACCUCAUUACUUUUCAAGUAAGAGACAUUACGCUGAGUUUCUUUGUCAAAAUUUGAGACACUAAAUAUAUUUGACUCAGCCUAUGUUAAGUUCUUACUUAGAAUCCUAAGCAGUGAAAUUGCCAAUUUGACUUAAACUGUCACAUGAAAACUUGUGGUGGAGCGUAACUGAAUACAUUUACUUACAGUUUUCGGGGUACAGUACUCAUAUUUCAGUGUAAAACUGUACUUUCAUCGUAUGCAGUUUAGUGUAGUUUUUUUAGGAUGCAUUGUUUGAGUAUGGCCACUAGGCGACAGUGUCGCAGCAGUCAGAGUCGGACCAGCGCAGCCUGAGCACCGCUCAUAGCACCGCUGCAGUUCGGUCAUCGCCGCGGAGUGUCGUCGUGCUCAAGUCAGUCCAGACCGCUGCUUCCUCCUGCGCUGGGAGCUCGGGAGCUGCACUCAGCGCUGACCGACGUGAAGGCAACAGGGGAUCGGUCUUCACUCUCUGGUCCACCUGCCUGCGAUCUCUCCUUAUUAUUAUUAUUAUUAUUGUUAUCAUUAAUAUAUUUUGUACAAUAAUAAUAAUAAUAAUAAUAACAACAAUAAUAAUAAUAUUAUUAUUAUUAUUGUUAUUAUUUCUCUCAGAUAUUAUUUGGAGUCUGGUGCGAAGUGCUUCAUCCUGCAGUACCCAAACCAUCGAGCAACAGCGGGAGGAACUUGGGGCAAUAUUUUUUUUUGUAUUUUCCCUUUUACGUUGCAUGCAAACCAUAACGAGAGCUGAGGAGGGGGCAGAAGAACCGGCGGGACACCAGGUUUUCAGAGAUAUAUCUGCCGAGGCUAAAAAAAACAACUCUCCACACUGUGUUGUUCAAAGAAAGAAUCCCAUGUGGCUGUCAGACACAUUAACAUUGACACACUGCUAUGGCCGAGCGUGUUUAAAAAUGAGUUGAAGAAGAGAUGAAUUCUUGUCAGCAAGGGAGCAGAAGUGACAGUUUGAGCACUGCCAGACCAACACAGGGAUGGGCCUCCUAGCUGGUUGCCCUCCACUCUGUAAUACCCUCUGAUUGUUGCCACUCAGACAUGGGUGAGAGUGGGAGUGGAUGAGAGGAGCACAAAGGUGUUUGCAGCAGAGAGAAGUCGAGGGGAACCACGGGCCUUGCCUCUGGAAUAUACUGAACGCUCACGAAGAUGAAACCAUUGAUGUAGGGAUAACAGAUCUAACCAAAGACUCUAACCUCCACCACACAACUCCAACCCUAACGUGAGUCAAUGAUACAUCGCCCAGAG